rnacentral:rRNA from 1 species
UUGAAGAGUUUGAUCAUGGCUCAGAUUGAACGCUGGCGGCAGGCCUAACACAUGCAAGUCGAACGGUAACAGGAAACAGCUUGCUGUUUCGCUGACGAGUGGCGGACGGGUGAGUAAUGUCUGGGAAACUGCCUGAUGGAGGGGGAUAACUACUGGAAACGGUAGCUAAUACCGCAUAACGUCGCAAGACCAAAGAGGGGGACCUUCGGGCCUCUUGCCAUCGGAUGUGCCCAGAUGGGAUUAGCUAGUAGGUGGGGUAACGGCUCACCUAGGCGACGAUCCCUAGCUGGUCUGAGAGGAUGACCAGCCACACUGGAACUGAGACACGGUCCAGACUCCUACGGGAGGCAGCAGUGGGGAAUAUUGCACAAUGGGCGCAAGCCUGAUGCAGCCAUGCCGCGUGUAUGAAGAAGGCCUUCGGGUUGUAAAGUACUUUCAGCGGGGAGGAAGGGAGUAAAGUUAAUACCUUUGCUCAUUGACGUUACCCGCAGAAGAAGCACCGGCUAACUCCGUGCCAGCAGCCGCGGUAAUACGGAGGGUGCAAGCGUUAAUCGGAAUUACUGGGCGUAAAGCGCACGCAGGCGGUUUGUUAAGUCAGAUGUGAAAUCCCCGGGCUCAACCUGGGAACUGCAUCUGAUACUGGCAAGCUUGAGUCUCGUAGAGGGGGGUAGAAUUCCAGGUGUAGCGGUGAAAUGCGUAGAGAUCUGGAGGAAUACCGGUGGCGAAGGCGGCCCCCUGGACGAAGACUGACGCUCAGGUGCGAAAGCGUGGGGAGCAAACAGGAUUAGAUACCCUGGUAGUCCACGCCGUAAACGAUGUCGACUUGGAGGUUGUGCCCUUGAGGCGUGGCUUCCGGAGCUAACGCGUUAAGUCGACCGCCUGGGGAGUACGGCCGCAAGGUUAAAACUCAAAUGAAUUGACGGGGGCCCGCACAAGCGGUGGAGCAUGUGGUUUAAUUCGAUGCAACGCGAAGAACCUUACCUGGUCUUGACAUCCACAGAACUUUCCAGAGAUGGAUUGGUGCCUUCGGGAACUGUGAGACAGGUGCUGCAUGGCUGUCGUCAGCUCGUGUUGUGAAAUGUUGGGUUAAGUCCCGCAACGAGCGCAACCCUUAUCCUUUGUUGCCAGCGGUCCGGCCGGGAACUCAAAGGAGACUGCCAGUGAUAAACUGGAGGAAGGUGGGGAUGACGUCAAGUCAUCAUGGCCCUUACGACCGUACACACGUGCUACAAUGGCGCAUACAAAGAGAAGCGACCUCGCGAGAGCAAGCGGACCUCAUAAAGUGCGUCGUAGUCCGGAUUGGAGUCUGCAACUCGACUCCAUGAAGUCGGAAUCGCUAGUAAUCGUGGAUCAGAAUGCCACGGUGAAUACGUUCCCGGGCCUUGUACACACCGCCCGUCACACCAUGGGAGUGGGUUGCAAAAGAAGUAGGUAGCUUAACCUUAGGGAGGGCGCUUACCACUUUGUGAUUCAUGACUGGGGUGAAGUCGUAACAAGGUAACCGUAGGGGAACCUGCGGUUGGAUCACCUCCUU